GAUGAAGAACGUAGCGAAAUGCGAUAAGUAGUGUGAAUUGCAGAAUUCAGUGAAUCAUCGAAUCUUUGAACGCACAUUGCGCCCUUUGGUAUUCCAAAGGGCAUGCCUGUUCGAGCGUCAUUUGUACCCUCAAGCUUUGCUUGGUGUUGGGCGUCUUGUCUCUAGCUUUGCUGGAGACUCGCCUUAAAGUAAUUGGCAGCCGGCCUACUGGUUUCGGAGCGCAGCACAAGUCGCACUCUCUAUCAGCAAAGGUCUAGCAUCCAUUAAGCCUUUUUUUUCAACUUUUGACCUCGGAUCAGGUAGGGAUACCCGCAGAACUUAAGCAUAUCAAUAAGCGGAGGA
rnacentral:misc_RNA from 1 species